rnacentral:rRNA from 1 species
UGCCAGCCGCCGCGGUAACACGUAAGUUGCAAGCGUUGUUCGGAAUUACUGGGCGUAAAGCGCACGUAGGCGGAUUAGUAAGUUAGGGGUGAAAUCCCGGGGCUCAACCCCGGAACUGCCUCUAAUACUGCUAGUCUUGAGUUUGGGAGGGGUAAGCGGAAUUUCGUGUGUAGCAGUGAAAUGCGUAGAUAUACGGAGGAACACCUGAGGCGAAGGCGGCUUACUGGACCAAUACUGACACUGAGGAUCGAAAGCGUGGGUAGCAAACAGGAUUAGAUA